GCUGCCCUGGCUCCGUCACUGCGGGACCGCUCCCGGCAGGAGGGUGUGGAGGGGGCACCUCCGAGCCUCCUACCCUGUGAUGCGAGGCGCAGGCAUGCUCAGUAGCCGAUGCCUACCCCUCCUCUCCCAACAACCGUGCCUGCAACAGUAGGAGCCGGCUGGCAGCGGGCGCGGAGCCGAAAGCCAUCUUUGCUGGGGAGGGAGGCAGCGCUCGCCCCUCGCCAUGUCUGUUCCAGCUUCUGCCCAGGGUCCCAGCGGUGCUGCAGGGGCUGCAGGGCCCCCUCCUGCCACCAAUGUGUCCAGCAACAAGCGGCUGCAGCAGACACAGGCCCAGGUGGACGAGGUGGUGGACAUCAUGAGAAUGAACGUGGACAAGGUGCUGGAAAGGGACCAGAAGCUGUCGGAGCUUGACAACCGGGCAGAUGCAUUGCAAGCAGGUGCCUCACAGUUUGAGACCAGUGCAGCCAAACUGAAGAGGAAAUACUGGUGGAAAAAUUGCAAGCGACAUCCAGGAAUGUGGGGAAAAGGGAUGAGGUGACUCUGGUAUAAGGUGAUGAUGAUCAUCCUUGGUGUAGUAUGCGCAGUCAUUCUCAUUAUAAUUAUAAUUUAUUUCUCCACUUGAAAAAGCAAAGAAGGAAGACUUGGCACAACUUUGUUCAUAUCAGCCGACGAUAUCAGUGUUCCUUUGUUGAACUCCGCUUUUUAAUUCCCGGUGUCUUGGGAUUUUUGCUUGUAAUAACCCAUAAGCAUUCAGUGUGGUGUAUUUUGGAAUUCUGUUGUUUCCACAAGAAACUGUACCAGCUAAAUACUGCCAAGUAGUUCCAUACACUGUCUAAUCACUGUGUCUUAAAAUGUGUACGCACUGACCUUCAGAAACUGUAGUAUGUCAAAAAGCAUCCUAAAACAUCUCAGAAUCAGAGAAUGCAGCUGUGGGGAAGCUCCUAUCUAAAAGGACACUUCAGGUGGAUUGGACCCAAAUCUAAGGUUGCAGCAAAGAUUAGGACCAAAAUUCUCAAUCUGAGCUCCUAAAGUUGGAUGGCAAAAUCCAUUGUCAGAUAUAUCCGUUACUCCCAUUGAAGAGAGUGAUACCUAUAAGUAUUUAUGUAAGAUAGCAUACUUCAAAUUAGCCAACCAAACACUGACAUUUUUGAGAUUAGAUGUAGAAUCCAAGUCUAAAAACAUUGUCCGCAGAAAAUAAAUAAGACUGGUUUAUCAUCUUUUAUGGAUUUAAAUUUUUCCUUAUGGAAAGCACCUCAUGGUGUUCUGAACAACCAAGAUGGCCUCAAUAGGAAUGCCAGAAAGAAAAAACCCUGUAUUACAGCCAAAAAGCAUUAGCUAGCACAGUCCUGAAAAAGCCCAGUGAAAUGCAGAAGUGGUAAUACAAGCGUCACAAAUGACUCAGGUACAUUCCCUUGCUGAGAACUCGAGGCACCAUAUGUCAGGUUUCAUGGGACAUCUCUUGAAUGCGAAUGCCCAAUAAUUCAGCCCUGACUUAGAGCCCAUGAGCAAUCUUGGUGAUGUCUGUGGCUGCCCAGCUCUGUUGGAGGAAGCUGCCUCUGCAGCAGUUUGCAGAAAUGGUCCCUGCUGCCAGGAUCAUUCAAAAAUCAGGAAGAAGGUAAGGGGGAACAGUGGGGAGAGCCUAAGAAAGGGAAGGGUGCCUAGCAAAGCUUUCCUGGGGAAGAGGAAGGAACAGAAACACUGUUCAAAGUGGUGUUAAUAGGCUUUAAAAUAUAUAUAUUUACAUUUGUGCAUGUGGGUAGUUCAUAAAAUAUAGUGUCAUCUUUGUAAAGUGCUCAGCUGAGAUACCUAUUAUACUCAAUUAAUUGAAACUAACAUUUGAUGUAAUUAAAAGAAAUUAUAUAUUGUGGCUUGAGAGAAAGUUCUUGUAUGCUCUUGUGAAUUUCUUGUUUCCUUCUUUUUAAAACAGUGAAUAGUUUAAUCAUCCUUAACCAAACUAAAAAUUAAUUAAUCAAAUUUUUAGCCAGGAAAUUCAGAAAAAGGUCUUUUUAGGAUAACUCCUUCAGAAUUUCAAAAAAGAAUUCACAGAAUUGAAAAAAUAAUUAUUUGGUGAGUUGGGAUUUUUGUCUGCAGUUUAAUUAGGGAAUAGAAACAGUGACCAUAGUAGUGUAAAUAUUCCCACUGUGGAGUGUCUCUCUUGACAUAGUUUUAGAUUUUUAAAAAAUGGAGGGCCUGACCAGUUUGUUGUUGUGAAUCUAUAUAUAAAUUAUGCUGAAGUAGAAUUUUGCAGAGAGACUAAGUAAUGGUCAAUUGAAAGGUUCCAGUGGCAUUUCCCCCUAAAUAUUUAUGCCUUUACAGUCACAUGUACUGCUUCAUAUAAUUAAGUCAUAAGUGGCCCCAGUCUUAAUGAAGCUGAAUAUUCAAAGUUGCUAAUGUGAUAAUGGAUGUCCUGGUAUGCCCUGAUCACUUCAGUCCUUCAGCUGGGUGAUAACAAACAAUUCUGAAAUCCUCAUGAGCUGGACAAAAAUUGUAGCAGAAAUGAAAGGCCUGACUCCGUGAGGUGACACAGCAGUGUAGAAAUGGGCUUUCACUGGCAGGGGAAUGAGCCAUCCAACUUCAGGAGCCUUUUAAAACUGCUAAGAUACCUGGAUAGCCGAUAUGAAGGGAUCACCUGCUAGAAGUGACACCCUGCCACCCACACCCGUGUUGAGCAUGCUGUCCUCACGGGGCUUCUCUACUGAACAGAGCGAGGAGAUGAAGAUACCACCUCCCUUUGCUGGAGGUGGUGCAAUCAGGAGGGUGAAAUGCUGACACUGAGCCUUAAUGCAGAUGUUCCUUCUCUUCUGGGAGGCUGAACUGAUACUCAGCUGAUAGGACUGCAAAUAUACAUUAAAGAGUUUGAAUCCUCUAGCUACAAACACACGAAGCUCCCAAAUGAAACUGGAGAGGGAGUGCUACAAGGAUGCAAAGCUCACAUCCUCCCAGCUAAUGUAGUUCAAGCAACUCACUCACUAAACCAAGUGGGACAUUUAGGUGCGAGUGGAGAAUAAAACUUUUCCUUGUGGAAUGUGCACCCAUUCUCUCUCAAAACUGUAACGAAUGGGGAUGACUGCUAAAUAUAAGUGAGAAUUUCCAAGGAGGAGUUAAGAAACCUGCCUUCUACUGGGUUUUAGAAUGUUUCUGAAAAGACUAUUUCCUCCUGCGUGGUAAUGAAAAAUGGUAAAUUAACAUGUUUAACUUUUCAAAGUUGUUUGCCCGCGGUGUGCUCGUGUAUGCUCAAUGUUUGCUACUACCUGUGCUGUGGUGGUUGGUUGUAAUUGGUGAGAUAAACCAUGUAACCUGUCUAAUUCAGCCCAGGAAGCAUGAAGAAGUGUGUCUUUCCCUGCACAGACCCAGAGCUCAGCUGCUCUCGCAGAGGGUUAAACCUUCAGCAAGGAGAAUAUGGUAAUACAGGACUGUUCAAGGUCGUAGAUUGUGCAACAGCAUCACAUAUGUACAGGCUGGCGCAGAACACAAUCUAUAUAAACACAGUAGGAGAUCUUAUUUGUGUUGAAGGCAGGAUUGAUUGCUUUCCACUUUGAAAUGUCCAUGCAGUUACAACUGCCUGCCUGUAAAUUUUCCAUGAAAAAUGAAAUCAUUCUUGUUCAGUCACCAUCGAUGAAAAUUUCAGCUCCUGCUUUGCACCACGGACUAUUGCCUCAGCUCUUGCCUUGAGCUGGUAAAGCACCACAAAAGGGCUUCCUUUUAGUGAUUCCCUGGCAAACCCUCGGGGGACCCCAAGGCCAUGGCUUUCUCACUGCUACCUUGGGGACCAAACUGAAGCCUCUUCUGGCUUGAAGCAAUGCUUUUGAUAGCUUUAUCCAGAAUUAGACAUUGUUUGGGACCUGCAUAUUCCAUCCUUACAAGAAGCUCCUCCUCUGCUUUCUGGAGCACAGUUGUACAUCCCAGAGGCUGUACAGCAGGAGAUGCCCUUCACACACAGCACGGCUGGAAGGAAGGUGUUAACAGCUGGUCAGCUGCUGCUUGGCUUCUCAAUGAUCUUGUCAGUGAUCCUACAUCAGCUUCUGAGCUUGAGCAAGUGUUGCUUGCACCCACUAUCAACAGGCUACUGAGGUUCUGCUUGGGCAUUACACUUUCUCUCAAAUUUAGUUAACUUGCAGUGACACAGAUGUGGCUUUAAACCCAAAACCAGUGUUGCACAGAACUUGGCAGGAAAACUUAGUGUGGAAGCCCUAAUGAGGUACUUGGCCUGAUUUUCACUUUGACAGCAUUACAUAACAGCACAGUCAAUCCAACAGAGUCGAACCUAAUCCAAUACUAUUAGAAGGAGGAUGGGAGAAUCUGAUAAAGAUUCUGAAUGUAACCUAGGGUCUGUAAGACAAGGGGUGAUUUAGAAAUGUAGUCAAUUGGAUUUCUAAAGCUGGCACUUUGAUUCAGUUGGAACCUGCGUGAUGUUAGUCUCAGGAACAGUUUAGGCAAGUAAGAUAUCUGGCUUUUUUCUUUUUAUAUAGUGAUAUAUAAACACUCAGUGAUGGAAGAGCAGGACGUUAUUGACUGUGCAAGGAAUGAAUUAGAACAGCCUCAAUCUGCUGUGCUUUUGUCUGAGUAGCAAGACCUUUUAAAGUUCUGUUUCUGUCACUGCUCCUCUGACAGGGCUUCACCUUACUUUAAUUUUAUGAGCAGCUGGACUACUUCUGGUCUAAAUACAAUAGAUUUUAGCUCUUAACAGCAAGUUCUUGACUUGGCAUUGACAUUUAACCUGGGGAGCACUUGGGUAUGAUCCAGGACUUACAUCUCAGCCCUGCUUCUCCUGCCCUUUAAACAGGAAGAGGGCUGAAGCAGCAGCCAUAUAAGGCACUGGGCUCCCUCCCAAUGUACACAGUGAGUAUUAGGGAAAGGCCUCAAAGUCUCUUUGAUCUGGAUUUGCAUCCUGACCUGAACUUUAGACCUGUAACAGAUCAUAACCUUUGGGCCCUCUAUCUCAUCAGAAGACUGAGAUGCUCUUCCAGCCAGCUCUUCCUCACCUGAUUUAGGUCCCUGUUGCUAGACAAGAUAUAUUUGAGCCAGAGAAAGCACAAACACCCUCAAAUUAGCUUCCUUAAAAGCAGAAUUAAAAGGCUAAAGAAAGUAGUUUGAAAACAAAAGAAUAGUAGCUAGACAAAUUAUUGGCUGAACGUCUCUCAAAUGGCAAUGUUAUUGUCAGGAGGGAUACUAGAUUGGGAUGUAUGAAACAACCAAACCAGAACCUCACACCAGUUGUUCUUUCUCCAUCUGAUCUACUUCAAAAAUACUUCAGGAAAGGAGUUUGGUUUUGUCUUCAGUUAAUUUCCCUUUCUCAGCUGAUUAAUCUGGGCCUCAAUUGAUGUGCUCAGUAGUUUUUCUUCUCCAUUGAGAACCGUAAGACUCUCUGCCUUUAAACACAUGAAUAAAAAGAGAUCUGAGCCACCCAAGGAGUUCACCUUCCUUCCUGGCGCACUGACAUUUAAAAGCUACAUCUUAGAAUAAAGCAGAGGAACUGUGGCAGUCUGGUUACAUGCAGUUUUGGUGGAGUAAACACUUGAUUAUUCAACAAUGAGUCACUCCCGCAGUAACCUCAUUCUGUCAUGAGUGUAUCACAUCUGCUAACUCUCCAAAGCAAAACCCAGAACCUGCACCGCUUCAAAACAUGAAUUCAGCCUCAUGGUCUGUACGUAACACUCUAUUCAACCAAAGAAGCCAUGUGCUAUAAGCUUCAAAGGGCAAAGUAGUUGUUCUCAAAGAGAAAAUAUCAUAGAGAACAACAAAGACAAUUAUGGAAAAAACCUUCUCCAUUCUUUAGCUCUUCUCAUAGUGUCUGGCUUUUCCGUUAUUCUUCACGUCUCUUUCUGUUCUCUUAGAAAUCCAUUGUGGUUUUGGAGUGCAGUGUAUUUGGAACACAGAAUUGUGGGGCUGUUCUGCCCUCUGGGUUGACUCCCUGCCUUCUGCCACACUGCCACCAUUGCCCUCAGCCAGAGCUCAGCACAACCUCCUCCCCCCAACAUCCAGCUCUCCUCAAACCUCCACUCCCUGGUCGACACCACCUGAGGCAGAACAAGAGACAACAGACAACACCUGGGUCUGGUUCGAAAUUGUGUGAUACAAAAGAAGGCUAAACGGCAGCAUUUUUGCCACACUACCUUAAAUUGUUACAUUGGAAUUUUAAUUAAAUUGAUUUAACAAUUCUUGUUACAGUAAUUUCAUUAAUUUUGUAGGAACGAGAGGAAAUAGCAAAUAAGGAUAUUGUGGUAAUCACAAUAUCAUCAUUUGGGAAGUGAUCCAAGUGAAAUAUUGCUAACAUUCAGUAAACCCCUUUUUAUAAGUGGCUCUACCAAAGAGCACCCUUUUAAUACUACAAUUAAGCAGUGCUUGUCUAUUGUAUUCAAAUACUUCAACUGAACUAUGGCAGCUGGUGGAGUUUUUUCUGGACAAUGCAGGAGAUAGGUGCAGGAAGGAUGGUGCAGCAUUCUUUGCAGGGAGCACCAUUUGGGGUACUCUAGCCCAAGCCAUGGAGCUGCUGGCAGCUGCAGCAGUGGUCAGGGACUGCAGUCAAAUCAGGAUUUCAGAGUGCUUGGGGCAGUAAAGAUCCAGCCUCAAUGUCCACUUUGUCCUAGAGCAGUUUGGGCUCAGUGAUGGAAUUUUUUGACACAGCUACUCUUGAUCCAGCCCAGUACCUGUGCUUGUCCACCUUUAAAUGGUCUAAGGUGAGGAUAAAAAAUCCCUUUGUUGAAUCCAUUACACUCCUGUAAUAUAUAUGUGAACACAUGGUGGUGGUCUGAGCUUUUUGUGAGGAAAAUUUUAAAAGAAUUAAAUCAAUUUUUCCCCCUGAUACAUUGCAGGUUUGUUUAAAGUAUAGUUAAAUAAUGGCAGAUGCAAUUAUUUUCUUUGUAAGACCAAGGAUUGAGAUAGUGCAUAUAAUGGGCCUACAAAUUCAUAGCUGCACAAUGCAUAAGUUUUUUCAGAACUUUAGCUAUUAAUAUUUACAGUGUUGAUCUGAAAGUUUGUUAAAAUUCCUUUAUUAAUAAAAGUAGUCUUGGCUGGAACCAAAAUUCCAGUGAUCAGUGUGACUACCAUGCCACUAGCAAGCUACUAAAUAAUCCAAGUUCAUCCUUUCAUGAAACCCAAUGUGAAAAAUAUUCUGAUUAAAAGUAGAAAUGUAUGGUAAAGACUAUGGGUAUAAAGUUUAACCAUUACUUAUUUACAUAUUAUUUAAGCAAUUAGCAGCUAUAAAAACAGUCAAAUAAUUAGUUUCCAAAGCUUAACUAUAGAUGAAAGAAUAUUAUUUUCUCAUUAGAAAAGCUAACUUCAAUCUAUGUUCCAUCUACUUUUUCCCCAGACAAUAAAAUGCUAAUAUUGCUAUGACACACUCACAGGUCUGCACAAUAAAAUGUUACAGAUAGCUCACUAUUUGUCAUGAAAAACAUCAUUAUUUUUGUAAAUGAAACAUCCUCUCUCUCCCAACCAUAUACAUGGUAAAAUAUUACAUUAGGUUUAUCAGCAUCACUGAAAGAUUAGAAAUUAGCACCUCCUACUCAAGAGUGGGACUUAAAAACAUGCUUUGUCUGUUGCAAAAAUACAUUCUGAGGGGGAAGCACCAACCGUGUACAGGUUAAAGUUUUAUUUGAUAACUCCUUUUUUCCUUCUCCUUUCCAAAGAAGCGCUUAUAUAUGUAGACAGGCAUUUGCCAUUUGGGUGAGACAUUCUCCUUCCAAGUAUGAAAGAGGUGAAACGUCUACUGUGAACAACCUUCAGUUUGUUUUGCAGGAUAAAAAGUCCUCUAAGUGGCAAUAUAUGAACUCUUAUUAUAAACUUGUUAUGCUCAUUACAGGAAAUGAGUUCAUAGCCAGCUAAUUAGUAUUUUCCUUAAUGACUUAUGUUUGAGUCUUAACACAGAGAAGCAGCCUCUGGAGGUGUUUGUGUAAUCAGUUCAGCACUGUGCUAUCUCACGCUCGCCAGCCUGGAGUGAGGAGCAAGGCAUGCCCUGGUGUGGAAGGGACUUCAACGUGUGCCACUUCAACGUGUGCCUAAGCAUACAGGGAAUUUCUGUUUUCUGUUUAACACAACAAAAAAACCCUCAUUUGUGCUUGCUAAAUCCAGACCUGGCAUGCAAUCUGUGCCAUGUUCUAAUUCGGAAGAGGAAAAACCUUUCCUUUGAAUGAUAAAACAAUUAGGGAGAAAAGGACUGCUGGGGUUGCCCGCUCCGAUGUCCUGCUCCAAGCAGGGCUGCCUUUGAGCUUGGAGCAGCUUGCAAGGGUUUUGUCUUGGUGGGGUUUGAAAAUCUCCAAGGCCCAUGGCUUCACAACAAAUUGUGUCACUGGGUAUGUUCAAUGCCCUACCAAGGCUGAUGCAAGUGCAGGAAAGACCUUUGUAAAUGCACGUGGUUUACGGUUUUGCCUUUUUGUUCCAUUGUGCAGUGAGUAAAAUUCAGAGCUCGUGGAAUUAAGUGCAACCCCCCUUUUUUCAAAGAACUUCCUCUGACAUCAAGAAAUUUUCUUUCCUUCUUGUUGCCAUUGGUCUAAGGCAGAUGUGAUCAUGCUGAGGAUAUCAGUGCAUUCUCUCCCCUCUGUGUGUGUGUGUGUGUGUGUGUGUGAAGCCUGCUUCUCUGGCACUGAAACUGGAAUAGGCAUAGAAUCAGAUUCAGGACAUCUGCUGAAGUCUUGCUCUUUAUUAUCUGAGAUCAGUGACAACAUUUUGAGUGGCUAUUAAGUUACUAGACUGGCACCAAAGAAAAAAAAAAGAUUUACUGAGAUUACUCUUUCUCCUUCCUCACAAGUAUCCUUGGCAAUGCCACACCUGGUUCAAAUGCUGAUGGAAUGGCAGUGCAAAAUAAAAACCUUUCUUCUACCUCUUUCCUUGUAAUUCUUCAAGCUUUACUUCCUGUAAAGGGAAUAAUCAGAAAUAAGUUUUCAGUUGCCCAUUUAAAAGCCCAAACUCCAGACCAAAUCCCUAAUUGCAUUGUUUUAAAGGCCACACAGUGGUGUUAAGCUCUGUAGUAACGCACUCAGAAAGGACCUGAAAGUCUGUGCUGAGAACAGCAUCUCUCACCUCAUAGACUCAGCUGUACUGAGCAAGGAGCUGUGAUUUGUGCCUCUACAAAAAACAAUCCAUUUGCACCUUAUUGGAAUGAUCUGGAGAGGAAAAAAAAAAAUAAUGUUGUGGAGACCAGGACAUUUCUUAAAGUGCUUUACCUGGAGGUCAGUGGAAUUUCAUUUAUAAAUGAUAAAAUGCAUGUAUUUUGAUGCUGAAAUUGUGGUGACUUAUAAAGUUUGAUAUUACUGUACUUUUCUGUGAACAGUGAUUUUUUUGAAGUGGCGAACAUAUUUUCCAAGAAUAUCGUAGACAUUUGUAACAUGUAUGUUUGUGCCAAUAAAUCUUGUUUUAAGAA